GACGAACGCUGGCGGCGUGCUUAACACAUGCAAGUCGAACGGAAAGGCCCUGCUUUUGUGGGGUGCUCGAGUGGCGAACGGGUGAGUAACACGUGAGUAACCUGCCCUUGACUUUGGGAUAACUUCAGGAAACUGGGGCUAAUACCGGAUAGGAGCUCCUGCUGCAUGGUGGGGGUUGGAAAGUUUCGGCGGUUGGGGAUGGACUCGCGGCUUAUCAGCUUGUUGGUGGGGUAGUGGCUUACCAAGGCUUUGACGGGUAGCCGGCCUGAGAGGGUGACCGGCCACAUUGGGACUGAGAUACGGCCCAGACUCCUACGGGAGGCAGCAGUGGGGAAUAUUGCACAAUGGGCGGAAGCCUGAUGCAGCAACGCCGCGUGCGGGAUGACGGCCUUCGGGUUGUAAACCGCUUUCGCCUGUGACGAAGCGUGAGUUACGGUAAUGGGUAAAGAAGCACCGGCUAACUACGUGCCAGCAGCCGCGGUGAUACGUAGGGUGCGAGCGUUGUCCGGAUUUAUUGGGCGUAAAGGGCUCGUAGGUGGUUGAUCGCGUCGGAAGUGUAAUCUUGGGGCUUAACCCUGAGCGUGCUUUCGAUACGGGUUGACUUGAGGAAGGUAGGGGAGAAUGGAAUUCCUGGUGGAGCGGUGGAAUGCGCAGAUAUCAGGAGGAACACCAGUGGCGAAGGCGGUUCUCUGGGCCUUUCCUGACGCUGAGGAGCGAAAGCGUGGGGAGCGAACAGGCUUAGAUACCCUGGUAGUCCACGCUGUAAACGGUGGGUACUAGGUGUGGGGUCCAUUCCACGGGUUCCGUGCCGUAGCUAACGCUUUAAGUACCCCGCCUGGGGAGUACGGCCGCAAGGCUAAAACUCAAAGGAAUUGACGGGGCCCCGCACAAGCGGCGGAGCAUGCGGAUUAAUUCGAUGCAACGCGUAGAACCUUACCUGGGUUUGACAUGGAUCGGGAGCGCUCAGAGAUGGGUGUGCCUCUUUUGGGGUCGGUUCACAGGUGGUGCAUGGCUGUCGUCAGCUCGUGUCGUGAGAUGUUGGGUUAAGUCCCGCAACGAGCGCAACCCUUGUUCACUGUUGCCAGCACGUUAUGGUGGGGACUCAGUGGAGACCGCCGGGGUCAACUCGGAGGAAGGUGGGGAUGACGUCAAGUCAUCAUGCCCCUUAUGUCCAGGGCUUCACGCAUGCUACAAUGGCUGGUACAGAGAGUGGCGAGCCUGUGAGGGUGAGCGAAUCUCGGAAAGCCGGUCUCAGUUCGGAUUGGGGUCUGCAACUCGACCUCAUGAAGUCGGAGUCGCUAGUAAUCGCAGAUCAGCAACGCUGCGGUGAAUACGUUCCCGGGGCU
rnacentral:rRNA from 1 species